AUUGAACGCUGGCGGCAGGCUUAACACAUGCAAGUCGCGCGGAGCGGGGACGGGUGAGUAACACGUGGAUAACCUCCUAUAAGACUGGGAUAACUUCGGGAAACCGGAGCUAAAACGGAUAUUUAUAGAUGGAUACGCGCUGCAUUAGCUAUUUGGAAAGGUAAAGGAUUACAAAGGCAACGAUGCAUAGACGACCUGAGAGGGUGAGCGGCCACACUGGAACUGAGACACGGUCCAGACUCCUACGGGAGGCAGCAGUAGGGAAUCUUCCGCAAUGGGCGAAAGCCUGACGGAGCAACGCCGCGUGAGUGAUGAAGGUCUUCGGAUCGUAAAACUCUGUUAUUAGGGAAGCGGUACCUAAUCAGAAAGCCACGGCUAACUACGUGCCAGCAGCCGCGGUAAUAC
rnacentral:rRNA from 1 species